rnacentral:lncRNA from 1 species
CUUCCGGAAGUCAGGGCCGCGGCGCUUCUGGUCCCGGAGACUUGGGGCUCCCGGGCUUCUGAGCGGCUCGGGUUCCGCGCUGCCGGCAGGGCUUGGGGGCGCCUUAGAGCCGAACCCCGUUUUUUCAGGAAAGGGCGCUGCGACCACCCCCGUCCCGGGCCUCAGCCCCUCUGCUGCAGACCCUCGGGAUCGUCGCUGGUAGGAGCUCUGUCCCCCGUGUCUGUGUCCAGGACCCCCGAAGCGCCGCGCCUAGGAACCCCCUAGCGCUGGGAGCCCGGCCCUGCUCGACCACGGGCUUUGGGCUGGAGGCGUCAUCGUCGCCACAGCGAACGCUUAUUUGGCACCGAGUGUCCGCCAGGCAUCGCUCUAAGCGCUUUAUACCCAUAACUCACUUCAUCUCAGCCACCCGGUUCCGUAGAAGCGUUUCAUCCGCGUUUUACAGACGUGUGCAGGAAAGAUUCUGAAGCUUGGCGGAGAGGGGUGUGUGAGUGGACACCAGUGAAGUAACGGUUUUUGUGUUACGAUGAUUUCUGUUUUCCUCUGCUGCCCUGUAAUGGCAGGAACUCGGAUAGUCUGGUCUUCAGACCAGGAGGACUCCCAGGAGAGAACGGAGAGCCAGUGUGCUGUGUGUCACGGUCCCUGGAUGAACGUUUGUGGAACUGGAUUGAAUUAAACAAGACGUGCAAAGCAAGUGGUUCACGAGAUUCGAUUGCUGUAGGGACCCCGUGGGUGUGGAAUCAGACAGUAUUGGUCCUUUCAUGACUGGCUUAUUUCACAAAACCCGAUGCCGUCGAGGUCCAUCCAUGCUGAGAUAUUUACGGAGCAUCCCCAGCUGCUGGAUGCUGGGACCCACCAGUGGGCAAGAGGGCCGUGCCCACCCCUUCCUGGAAGAGACACUCACUCAGUAAAUGCAGAGAUUCAGUGUUGGGGUAACCCCAGCACACAGCCCUGAGGGAGGAAGCCCAGUGAUUUGAUCGGAUUUGCUUUUCUCUUCUGCCUCGGAUUCUGUCCAACCCCUGGAAGGACCUCUGAGGUGUCCCGUGGCUGGUUCUAGGCCCCAUUCAAGCCUCCUCCUCCAGGAAGCCUUCCCAGUCCUGGGCAUCUGUAGCCAGCUCGGUGUUUCUCACCUGGGGCCUGGGACGUCUCCCAUUCUGAACUGCCGUGUUUUGGGUUUACUGUUCUCUGGCUUUUGGUCCCAGCCGGACGGUGGCCUCUUGUGUUCAGGGACAAGGCAAGGAGCAUCCAUGCACCCCCACAGUACCCAGGCUGGGUCUGUGCCCGCCAGGCCCCCGGCAAAGCUUGGAUGAUCCGGGCUGGGCUGUUCUCCUGCUGCUCUCCUGCUGCUGGCCUCGCUGUAUCAGCUGAUGGCCAUCGCGCCUCCUGCACCCGUCAUCCCGCCCUGCACGCCCCCGCCACGUGGAUGAGCUCCCUGGGGAGUUAAUGGCUAAUGGAGUCUCCGCUCUCUCUUGUCAAAUGCAGCCAUCAUCCGCUGGUGCUUUAAGGGACUCUCUCCCGUCCCCACCCUAUUCUCAGGUGGCUCCUACCGACACCACCUAAUGGUGAACCCCAACACGAGGACACAGGCAGUGCCCUCUCAGGACCACUGUGGGUGCCACCAGGCACGACUUCCUAAACACCCACAGAGCAAAAACCUGGAAAUUCAGCCGAGGCACUGGGACCCCAACCUCUCCCAGAGUGGCCCCAGCUCCACGGCGUCUGCAUGGCUCUGGCCGUGAGCAGAGCAGCCCCGACCUCCGUCCUGACCCAGGGCGCCGGAGCGCCACUGCGGAUCUCACCACCACACAAGCCAGACCUGCUAGGAAGCCCUUCCCGGCCACCAGCUCUCGGGCGAUGCACACAACAGGGCCUUUUGAAUUCCCUGAGGUUAAGGUUCCCCUUGAGUCUCCUGGGCUACAAGCAAAUCCCCCGAGGGGAGAAGUCCAGGCUGACACAGCCUCCUGCACCCCUGCCUUGGGAGGCCACACCUCGUUUGCCUCUAGAACCGACGACUGGGGAGCACUGUUUGCAGAGUUCUCUCUCUCUGGAACGGUGAAGGAAUCUGAAGCCCAGAGAGGGAAAACAAUGCCUCCUGGGUCACACAGCCCAUCAGGGGCAGGGCAGGGACGAACGGCGAGAAAAGGACCAGCGCGAGAGGAGAUCCCCAGCAGUGAUUCCUCAGCCAAGCCCAGCGUCUACCCACAUCCACACCUCACAGCCACCUGAUGGGGAAGGCACCAUUGCCCCUUUUCAAAGGUGAGAAAACAGAGGCUCAGAGAGGUUCAGCAACUUCUCCCACAGCUACUUCGUUGUAGAACUGCAGUUCCAGGUGUCCCCGAGCUCUCCCUUCCCGAGCCAUCUGCUCCUGCCCUCCUAUCCGAGCCCUGGCCCUCCCAGUCAAAGCCGGGUAGUGGCUGUUCAGAAGCCUUGGGGCUAGUCAAUCCCAGCUGUCUCGGACCAGGGCCCCCCCCAGGAGGAGACCCUGAAGGAUGCAGUUGAGAAUAUGUGCUUUCUUUGGUAGGUGAUCUCAGGAAUUGCAGGGGAAAGAGGGGGAGCGUGUUAGUGUAGGCUCUCCGGAGAAGCAGAACCAACGCACAGAGGAGAUUUAGGAUGAGGAAUCUGGUUUAUGUGACUCUGGGGGCUGAGAAGGCCCACCAUCUGUGUUGCAAGCUGGAAACCCAGGGAAGCCUGAGGUGUGAUUCAAACUCAGCUCAGGUCUGGAGGCCUGAGAACCAGGGCAGCCGAUGGUGGACAUCCAGUCCAGGGGCAAGAGAUGACGAGAUGUCCCGGCUCCAGUGGCGAGGCAGGAAAUGAGGGGUGAACUCCUCCUCCCUCUGCUGUCUGUUCUAUUCAAGUUCUUGAGGGAUUGGAUUAUGCCCAGCCACUUGGGGAGGGCAGUCCACCUUCCUGAGUCCACAAUUCAAAUGCUGAUCUAAUCCAGAAACACUCUCACAGACACAGUGUGUAGUCUGGGCACCCCACAGUGCACUUAAGUGGACACAUAAAAUUAACCAUCCCAGGGAGUGAGAUGGGUAAGGGAAGAUGGGCCACAGUGGGUGUGUCUCCAUGCCUACCCCCACUGUGGGCAGCUGCUGGAGCACACGCCUCAAAGUCUUCCCUGAGGGAGAGGGAGCUGAGGUGUUUAUAUCCCAGCUCUGUCAGGCAUUGGCUGAAUGUCCACACUCCUGGAUCACCGCCUCUCAUCCUCAUGAUGUCCCAUGGUCCUCAUUUCACAAGUGAGCUCUGGGUACAUGGGGAGCAUCAGUCACACCCUGGGUCAGUACCUCAGCUGUCUCUCACAUGACAUCCUCAUUAUCCACACUGCAAAGCCAACCAUCCCUAUGAUGGGUUCAUUGUGGAUCAUGACUUAGUGGGUCAAGAGUUUGGAAGUGGCUCAGCUGGGCGGUUCUUCUGCUCCAUGUGGCUGCCAGAUGGUACCCUGCUGGUGGGCAGUCUGGUCUAGAGGGUCCAUGAUGGCUUUACUCACAUGCCUGGCAUCUUGACAGGGACAGCUGGAAGGCAAGGUUCAGCUGGGACUGUCCACAGAGCUCCUCCCUGUGGCCUUUCCAGCAUGGUGGUCUCAGGGUAGCUGGACUUCCUGCAUGACAGCUCAGGGCUCCCAGAGCUACUGUCCCAAGAGAUAGAAGGUGGAAACUGCCAGUCUCUUAGGCUAGGACCAGAAACCAGCACCCCUGCACCCACAGCCUUUUGGUAGUGAUGAAAUAAACAUAAGAUUUAUCAUUUUAAUCAUUCGUAAGUGGGAUUAAAUACAUUUACAAUAUUGUGUAACCAUCGGCACUGUCUAUAUCUAAAACUUUUUCAUCAUCUGCAAUAAAAACUCUGUAUGCA